rnacentral:tRNA from 1 species
AUUUAUAUAGUUUAAAAUAAAACAUUAUAUUUUCAAUAUAAAAAAAAUAUUUCUUCUAUUUAUAAAUA